CUAAUCUCAAAAAGUUUUCAAUAUAAUAAGAACCCUAUAAAGCUAGAGGUUUAGUUCUGCUGAAACAUUUCAGUCUUUCGCCAAAUCUGUAAGUCACAUCGAAGUGGACCAUAAGAAAAUGGAAACCUUGGGCCUACUUGUCCGGAUUUCAUUGGUGUUACUUGCCCGAAUAGAUAUUUAUUGGCCAUUUGGCAGGAUCAUUUUCGGCGGCUAAGGAUUAUAUCAAGUAUGACCCACCACCUUUCGUAGCCAAUUGGAAUUAAGAUGUUAAUGGUAUUUUCACAAAUACAUGGAUAGUAUGUUAAAUACUUAAUGUUUCUACAAAUCUUAAUACUAAAUAAAAUAUUAUAUGUACAAGUAGGAUUGUCAUUUAUCUCCCAUGGGUAGCGUGGUCGACGCACUACGGGCCAUCGCUAACGGUUUGCUGAAAUGAGUUUCAGCUCCUUCCCGGACUUCCCAAGAAAAUUGCACUUCUCCUCUGCUGCCUCGCGCCAUAUGUGUGAGUGUCCGCGGCUUUGCGAUAUGGGCGGUAUUUCAUUCGCUUUUCCAAUCUGGCAAGAAAAGGCAUUGAAUAACAUGUAAUAGUCCCUCUUUUCCUCACAUUUUAAUACCUCUCAGCUUUUUCAACUACCCCUCUUAAUUUCAUAAUUACCAUUCCGAUUUAAUUUUUCCUGCGAUUUUGAAUUUGAAGUUCAAAGCCAGGGUCGGCGAAAUCAAAAAUCGGCGGGACCGGGGCCGGCUGAUGCAGAUUAACAGCUAGACGCAGCACGGGAGAUCGCUUUUUAGUGCAGGGAAUAAAACGGCGAAGCAAUGAUUAUAAAAUAAUAAUAAGUGUGGUAAUUUAUGGUAUAAAAUUGAACUUUGUCAUUACUUAAUUGAUUGAUAUAAUAAAGAAGAAAAAGAGAAAAAAAAACGAAAACAUUCAAGGAACUUUACCGGUAGAAAUUACGUCUACCUUGCUCUUAGCUGAGUUCAUUUGUUCCAAAACAGGAUUGAAGUGUUUGA